rnacentral:snRNA from 1 species
GGAUGUGAGGGAGAGCUGGCUGUGACAUAUCACCCCAUUGAUCGCCAGUGUUGAUUUGGCUGAUCUGCCUGGCUUGGCAGGUGUCCCCUUCCUCCCAUACCACUCCAUAUGUGUCCCUCCCAAAGCUGUGCACUUGGUCUAAGAGGACGACCACCCCCCAUAGAGGAGGACCACUUCCUUGGUCAAGAGUGUAUAAGUAUCUGUGCUUGCUGGCUAGAACCUCCAAACAAGCUCUCAGUAUUGUAUUUAGUUUAUUUUUAAUUGAUGUUACAAUACUUAGAAAAGAUUUUGGACAUACAGUUGAUUGUUGAAUCA